UCUGUGAACCAACAGGAGAUACACCGUGAGUGACUAGAGGGCUCAGCGGGAUGUGGGACGGGAGGAAAUGCUGGAUCAACCACGUGACUGUGGAGAGGGGUAUGAUGGGUAAUCUUGGGUGUCGCUCUAGAAUCACAAACCUCUGAACAUGCCUAUGAGGAUGAGGGAGUUCUAGACUGGGCUGAGGUGGCCAGACCCAGCCUAACAGUGGGUGGCGCCAUCUCACGGGGCUUCGAGCUGAAUAAAAGUGAGAACAUGAUUAACAUCCAUCCCUCUCUGCUUCCGGAUUGUGGGCAUAGUGUGACCAGCCACAUCCUUCGAGCCUGUCCUUGGGUUGCUUUUCUCAGGCAUUUGUCACAACAGUGAGACAACUAGGAUGUGUAGCUGAGCCUUGCCAGCUACAAAGAUCUCCGCAGUUUUCCUGAGACUGGUCAUUCGAGGAUUAGGAAGAAGUGUAACAAUUAACAGAACAACGGAUUUGGCCAGGGAUGACAGAAAUCCUUGCCUGGUGGACCCACGGGCUGCUUCUCAGCUACCCAAUCACAAAGAUAUUUCUUAUUGCAAACAUCUUAGAAUUUAGAGCCCUCAAGAAGAAUGCAGACUCUCCAGAAUUGAUUGGAGACAUCCAGCAGGGCCCACAUCCUAGUCUGAUCAUCAGACCUCAGGACCUGCUUGUCCCUGCCCCUCACCCUGGGUGUCGGGAUCUGAACUUGGGUCCGGAGAUCCUACGCAGCACUCCCUGUAAGCACUAACCAUCUCCUCAGCCUCUUCCAUUUCCAACCAGAAACUGCUCAAAAGGUAGUCCGUUAAGUUUAAAAAGGCUACUGACAAGGAGGGUUGAUGGGAGGAGAAGGGAGGCAGACAUGCUGAAGUCAUAAUGUCAGACGCUAAAGUGCUAUGAAACAUGACUUGCUCUUUACAGACGCUGAGUACACGCUGUGGGUUAAAGCGCUGCUUUUUGCCAACACUGAGGGUCAUCGUUCCAUUAGGGUAAAUGGGGAAAUGGAGGAAACGGCAUAGCUGAAGUCAGGACAACCUCUGGAGGAGGGGAGCCGGCCAGCAGUUACAGGCUCCCUGGCUGACGUGAGCUGCGGGAUCCAUCCUCUACCACGAGAAGCCAACCAAUGCCUCCUGAGGUUUGGUAUCGCAAUAUCCCACCCAACCAGGGUACCUGUCCAAAGGCAAUCAUUCUCUUACUACCAAAAAGAAAGCAGUCACCACCAAAGCCAGAGUAAAGUCGAUUGGAAAAGCUUCCACAGACAAUAUACCUACUUGUGUAUGUAUCUGUGUGUGCGUGUGUAAGUAUAUAUCUGUGGGUCUGUAUGUCCCUAUAUGUAUGUAUACGUGUGUGCAUAUGUGUAUAUGUGUAUGCGUGCGCUCAUGUGUGUGAAUGUAUGUGUAUGUGUGUGUCUGCAUGUAUAUGUGUGUAUGUGUAUGCAUGUGUGUGUAUAUACCUACUUGAUCAAUAUACCUACUUGGCUGGCAUGCCUGAAGCUCUAGGUUUGAUUGCCCGCACUGGGUAAACUGGGUGUGGUCGUGUCCACCUGUCACACAGGCAGUGGCAGAUUUAGAAUCCUGGUUCAUCCUUACAAAUGAAUCUGAGGCUUAACCUGGGCUGUGGGAGACUCAGGGGAGGGAGGGGAGGAUGGACCGAGGUAGAGGAAGUGAAGGAGAAAGAAGCUGCAUGAGGAGAGGCUGUGCCUUCAGUGGGGAAGAGGGACAAGGACAGGGACCUCACAGGAAGAGGAGCAGAACACUCCACAUCUGGUUGAAGGGAGGGGGGAGCUAUUUCUUGAGAAUUUGAACCAAAGGCAGGGACUCCCCCAACUAGAUGGGCUGUAUUCCCCAUAGUGUAGCCCAAAGGAAGCCAGAAUGAAAUGCAACCAGCAGUAGAGGUUUUGACUUUCAAGAUUCCCAGGCAAAGAUGCCCUGAGUGAGCGGGAGGAAGCCAUCGUGAGUACUCCCUGGGGGAGCUAGAUUGGGACAAAACUCUAAACUUCAGCAAGGUGAAAAUGGGGGCUGGGGGUGAAUCUUGGAACCUUGGAAAUACAAUCAGGUAAACCCAGUGCCACUCCUAGGUGGGUCUGUAUACCACAGCCCUACGGUGCGGUGCCCAGCAUACCAAGAGCCCUAUUGUGUGGUAUGCACCUGCUCCUGGCCCCUGCUAACUGCCCUGGCUUGCCCUGGAAAACAGCAGCACCAGUCAGACCAGACAGAAAAGGCUGUUUUCAGGGAGGGUGGCACCACAUUCCAGGCCACAGAAAGGCUUGAGAUGAGUCGCAGCCCAAGUCCAGCUGCCAUCCGAAAAGUUAACUACAAUUUAUGUGUCUGAGGGCUGCAGGCAAGCAUCUGCUGGCACCGAGCUGGCUAACACGUUGGCAGUACAAAUUUAAUAAAUCUUAAUUACUCUGUUUAUGCAAACAAACAGGCUGGAGCUGCUGACGCAGCUGGAGCUUUAGAUGACUGGAGGCCUGAAAAGAGUAAGGAAGUGUGGAGAACCAACAGCACGUAAAUUGUCAGCCUAACAGUGGGCGUCUUUCUUCCCCGUGGACUGAAAAUAAUGCAUAGAAUGCUUUAAAGUUGGUGAGAUUACAGCCUCUGCAGAAGCCGCUUCUGUUCUACUCAGAUGGCCUCUGUGUGUGCAUGUGUACUGUGCAUGCACGUGUGUAUGUGUGUGUGCAUGUGUGUGCAAGUAUGCAUGUGCAUAAGUGUGUGCAUGUGUGUGCAAGUAUGCAUGUGCAUAAGUGUGUGCAUGCAUGUGCAUGUCUGUGCAAGUAUGCAUGAGCAUAGUGUGUAUACAUGUGUGAAUAUACGUGUAUGGAGUUCUGUCACACUUGCAUGUACCUAAUCAGGUAAAUAACAACAGGCAGACUAUGAAUUUGAGCCUUGAAUGCCCCACAGAGACUUGUGCGCUAAAAAAAACUGAUCUCCUAGGGGUUGGGGAUUUAGCUCAGCGGUAGAGUGCUUGCCUAGCAAGCGCAAGGUCCUGGGUUCGGUCCCCAGCUCCGAAAAAAAGAAAAGAAAAAAAAAACUGAUCUCCUCACUAGCUACUUGGAGGAGAGGAAUCUUUAAGAAGCAGGGCUGCACAUGGCUCAGCUGUAAAGAACACUGUCUGCUCUGGCAGAGAACCUAGGUUCGAUUCCCAGGUCCCACCCAGCAGCUUACAACUGUAACUCCAGUUCCAGGGGAUCGGGUGCCCUCUUGUGGCCUAUGUAGGCACUGCAUGCAUGUGGUGCACAGACUUGGGGGGGUGGGCAUGCAAACACCAUAAGGAUAAAGGAGGAGGGGGCUAGAGGAAGGUCUUUAGGCCACUGGGGGAAUGCUCUUGAAAUAGUCUGUGGGACAGACCCUGGCCUUCUCUUCUUCCUCUUCUUUUGCUCCCUGGCCACGAGGUGAGUGGUUUUGUUCUACCUCCUGUUCCCACCAUCAUGUGCUACUUACUCAGGCCCAAACCGACAGGGACAAGUGACCCCAAUGGGAAACUCUAUGGAAGCCAUGAGCCAAAUAAUCCUUCCCUCUUGAUAAGCUGAUUUCCUCAAGCCUUCUGUAACAGUAACUGAAAGCUGACUAACACGAGACGGCUGUCACUGCUCUUUCUGCUAUUGGAAGAAGUAGGAAGCCUAUCUACAGGCAUCCGAGUCCCUCAUAUACACAACAGUUGAGAGCCUACUAAGUGCCAGUUGGCAGGAAGGAAACUUAGGAAGAGCACGGUUGAGUUCUUUGCCAAAUCACACACACACACACACACACACACACACACACACACACACACACACACACACACCAGUGCCUGAGCCUGGUCUUAAACCCUGAGCAUAAAACACCAGUUCUCAAAGUGUGGUCCCUGAACUGGAAGUGGACGUGUGAGCAACACGUGGGAAUGUCGGAAACACAGAUUCACGAACUAUCCAGCCCGAUGGAUCAGAACCGCAGCAGGGUUGAGCGCAGCCGUGUGGGCUCACAAGCCACCCUGUAGGUCGUCUCUGGUACCAAGCAGCUGUGAACGGCCUCAUACUUUGCAGGAGGCUGUGGCUAUUGGCUUAGAAGGAAGUCAUAGCAGAAGCCAGCCUUUUACAUGCCUGUGUGUUUGAAUCAGGGUGGAUAUGCACAAAGAACCUUCUGGUUUGUACACUCGAUGACAGAACAAUGGCCAUCCUCUCCUGGUUGUAGCUCCACAGGGCUAUUUGUUGAGCCUUGGGGCUAGGAACCCUCGUGGCUGCUGCUCUUCAGAGCCUCCUGACCCAGACAGAGAUGUCCAAGCCCCAGCUCCACAUAAAUGUCCUUGCCACUGCAGACCCAGCCAAGUGCUCACACUCUAGUAUGGCAUACAUCGCUGUCUUGUUGGUUGAUGGUAUUUGAGCACCUUAAACAUCAUUCUGCACAGAAUCAGCAGUGACUCCAUAAGGACAAAAUAAAUGAAUGGCUGAAAACACAGGCAGUUAGUGGGCACCAUGACUGGACCAGGGAUCCAGAUGUAGCUAAUGCUUAGAAUCUUUCUGACAGGUACAAUCCAUGGCCCAUGUGUCACGUCACAGCUAGGAUGUGGUCCAAAACAAAACUAUAAACAUAUUUAAAAUAUUGUGAGUUGUGUUUAAAAGGAGGAGGAGGAAGACAAAGCAGAGGUGGAAGAGGAAGAGGAGCAGAAAAGGAAAAGGAAAAGGAGAAGAAGAGGAGGAGGAGAAGAGGAGGAGGAGAAGAAGGAGAAGGAGGAGGAGAAGAAGAAGAAGAAGAAGAAGAAGAAGAAGAAGAAGAAGAAGA